UCAGAUUUUCACUGGCAUAUCGCCCCGGCAUUAUGAUCCUCCUGAUGGUUUCACGUUUGAAAUAAAUGAUGUUUCACCACCUAUUCAGGAUGAUACUCUUAUGUUUGACUAUAAUGUUCAAGAGCGAGUGAAUGACUUUGUUGUUGCCGCUUUAGCUCAGGCUAACGUGACAAGAACUAAUCACAUUAUGUGGAUGAUGGGGAUAGAUUUUCGUUAUCAAUAUGCAAUUUCAUGGUUCAGGCAGAUGG